UGCGAGCGAACAGAGAAGAGCCCAGCACCGAAUCCCGCGGCCGAUAUCGGACGCCGGGAAAUGUGGGGGUUAGGGAGGGAUCCGUUUAUCCCGAGGUCGUGCGGUGCGUCCAAGUCCUUCUUGAACGGGGCCACAGCCCAUAGAGGGUGCCAGGCCCGUAGCGACCGCUGCCGAUCGCGGGAGGAUCUCUCCUCAGAGUCGGGUUGCUUGAGAGUGCAGCCCUAAGCGGGUGGUAAACUCCAUCUAAGGCUAAAUAUGACCACGAGACCGAUAGCGAACAAGUACCGUGAGGGAAAGUUGAAAAGCACUUUGAAGAGAGAGUUCAAGAGUACGUGAAACCGUUCAGGGGUAAACCUGAGAAGCCCGAAAGGUCGAAUGGGGAAAUUCAUUCGCGUUUCGGCCGCCGGCGUGGUACGGUCGAGUGACGGACGGCGUACGCGUCGUCCGCGCCUUCCGUUCUUCGAACCGGCGUCGAACGCGUGCACUUUUCCCCUAGUAGGACGUCGCGAUCCGUUGGGUGUCGGUCUACGGCUCGCGGUGGAGCCCGUGCGGUCGCUUCACGGCGUAUCGUACGGACCCGCGGUGUUCCGACCGACUCGCUCGACGGUAUACAGAUGGCGCGGGGCCGCUACCUUUCAGUUAGCGUUCGGC
rnacentral:rRNA from 1 species